rnacentral:tRNA from 1 species
GGAGAGGUGACCGAGUGGCUUAAGGUAGGCGCCUGCUAAGCGUCUGGUCGGGUCAAACCGGCCCCAGGGUUCGAAUCCCUGCCUCUCCGCCA